GCAUCUCUUGAUUUGUCUUGACUCACAAUUAGCGAGGCUCAGAUUUACUUUCAAGUCUUCAACUGCUUCUUUGGUUGACCUAUUGCGCUCGUGAUUGGUUAAUCUGACAGAGUUAUCUCACAAUACACCUGGAAACACCAAUGCAUUGGAACACACCAAUCAGUAAGAGUGGAAUUGUAGCGGAGUGAUCAUCAAAUAUUUGAAAUAUGUAAAAUCCGUUUCCAGCCACCAUUGAUAAACCAAUCAGAAACAAAACAACAGCAACGAUACCUAGGAUUGACAGCUCCUUCCAACAGUCCAAAUGCCGAGUCAAUUCCCAAGAGGAUCAACAUGAAGAAAAAUAGGACCGCCCAAAAUGGCG